rnacentral:SRP_RNA from 1 species
CCGCGCUAGACGGGGAGGUAGCGGUGCCCUGAACCCGCAAUCCGCUAUAGCGGGGUACAACUCCCGUCCGAGGGCAUUUCCCGCCAAGGUCCGCCCUCUGCAAGUGGUGAUGAUGGUCAGGUCCCGCGCAAUGAGCACCUGUGAACCCCGUCAGGCCCGGGAGGGAGCAGCGGUAAGCAGGGACGCUCAUGUGCCGUGGGGUUGCCGGGCAGGAGCUAACUACAGAGGUCACGCUUGGUGGGGAUGUUCGAAGACGGGUGCGCGG